GGCGUCAUGGCCGAGUAGUAAGGCAAAGGACUACAAAUCCGUUUUCCCCAGUUCAAAUUUGAGUGUCACCU
rnacentral:tRNA from 1 species